rnacentral:rRNA from 1 species
GUCUGUUGUAAACGGCGGCGUUAACGUGAGCGUCCUAAGGUAGCGCGAUAAUUUGCUUUUCAAUUGAAGGAUGGUAUGAAAGGGUUAACGAAGAAGGUGCUGUGUCUAAAAAUUCAAUUUAAACUAACUUUAAGGUGAAGAGGCCUUUAUGUAAAAGAAGGACGACAAGACCCUAUGAAGCUUUAUCUUAAUUGGAGCUCUCAGGCUCUUAUACGAUUUUGAUGGGAGAUCAGUAGAAAGAAGUCUUCUACUGUCAUAUUAAUCUUACUAGUAUUUUCUAACUUUAUAUGUGUGGCUAGCUACUCUAGGGAUAACAGCGCAAUUUCUCCCGAAAGAUGGUAUUGGAGGGGAAGAUUGCGACCUCGAUGUUGGCUUUAGAUAUCCUAGAGGCGUAGAAGCUUCU